rnacentral:rRNA from 12 species
CUCUACUGAUAUAGCAUCAUGCAAGCACCUGAUUCCUCCUGAUCUCAGAAGCUAAGCAGGGCUGGGCCUGGUUAGUGCUUCGAUGGGAGACUGCCUGGGAAUACCAAGUGUUGUACUUU